GGCUACCCGCUGAACUUAAGCAUAUCAUAG
rnacentral:rRNA from 1 species